GUGGCGGACGGGUGAGUAACGCGUGGGAACGUGCCCCUUGGUACGGAAUAGCCCCGGGAAACUGGGAGUAAUACCGUAUGUGGUCGAGAGACGAAAGAUUUAUCGCCAAGGGAUCGGCCCGCGUUGGAUUAGGUAGUUGGUGGGGUAAUGGCCUACCAAGCCGACGAUCCAUAGCUGGUUUGAGAGGAUGAUCAGCCACACUGGGACUGAGACACGGCCCAGACUCCUACGGGAGGCAGCAGUGGGGAAUCUUAGACAAUGGGGGAAACCCUGAUCUAGCCAUGCCGCGUGAUCGAUGAAGGCCUUAGGGUUGUAAAGAUCUUUCAGGUGGGAAGAUAAUGACUGUACCACCAGAAGAAGCCCCGGCUAACUCCGUGCCAGCAGCC
rnacentral:rRNA from 1 species